ACUUCAAUGAUUCUCAGCCUAUUUCAGUCAGAAUCAUGGGAGUUGUUGCUGAAUUACAACUCCCAUGAUUCUGACUGAAAUAGGCUGAGAAUCAUUG